rnacentral:rRNA from 1 species
CCUACGGGUUGCAGCAGUGAGGAAUAUUGGUCAAUGGGCGCGAGCCUGAACCAGCCAAGUAGCGUGAAGGAUGACUGCGCUACGGGUUGUAAACUUCUUUUAUAAAGGAAUAAAGUGAGGCACGCGUGCCUUUUUGUGUGUACUUGAUGAAUAAGGAUCGGCUAACUCCGUGCCAGCAGCCGCGGUAAUACGGAGGAUCCGAGCGUUAUCCGGAUUUAUUGGGUUUAAAGGGAGCGUAGGUGGGUUGGUAAGUCAGUUGUGAAAGUUUGCGGCUCAAACGUAAAAUUGCAAUUGAUACUGUCAGUCUUGAGUACAGGUGAGGUAGGCGGAAUGCGUGGUGUAGCGGUGAAAUGCUUAGAUAUCGCGAAGAACUCCGAUUGCGAAGGCAGCUUACUAACGUGCCACUGACAUUGAUGCUCGAAAGUGUGGGUAUCGAACAGGAUUAGAUACCCUUGUAGUC